AAACGAAUUGCCUGAGGCUCUUUUUAAUAUGCAAACUCUGAUUCAGGCAAGGCGGGUACUGAGACUCUGCAUUUCUAAUAAGCUCCCAGGUGAUGCUGGU
rnacentral:pre_miRNA from 1 species